UAAUAAUAAUAUUUUCUCCCUUUGAUGUUGGGCUGCAAUAUGAAGCAGGCCAUGAUUUUCGUGAGAUUGGCCCUCAGAUCUCCCCGCACACACUCUGGCCAUCCAGGAUUUAUUCUCCGCAGUUAAAAGCUACGUGAGAAACUAUUACGCUGACGUACACCAGUAUUAUCCCGUUUAGUGAAGGACAUUAUCAAGAUUCAUGCAAUUUCCUCACCAGUCAUGUGGUUUUAUAACCCUGAAAGACUCCUCCAGAUGAGGUGGGAACCGCUGGGGCUCUAAUCUUCUCUGAAAACGGAGCCACAGCGGCCAGAACUCUGCCAGGUUACAAACCAAUGUUUCUGGCAUGCAAUUACGCAGCCUGUCCGCAACCACUACUCUUAAUUUUUGACAACAGAAAUGGGUUAUGGCAUCUCCAGUUUGCAUCUGCCUCCAGUUUCAAAGCAACUCGGAGCCAUUAGACGAAAUUACGACUCCACACGUGUUUUCAUGGCCUGUUCCCUCUCAUCAGCUACUUGUGAAUAUUAUAAAUAAAUUAGAGAACUAGCAAACGCAUUACUAAUUGAUACGCAGCCCUGCAGUACCUCCACGCCGUCCGGUUGUUUUGCUGCUUUUUUGUUUUCAUUGUGUAAGAUAUUUAGUCUGUUUUAGAGGAAGAGGAUGCUUUAGCAUCACAAAGAUGUGAUUAGCGCUAACAAAAACACUUCACAACUUUAAUUGUUUUUG